rnacentral:rRNA from 1 species
GACGAACGCUGGCGGCGUGCUUAACACAUGCAAGUCGAACGGAAAGGCCCUGCUUGCAGGGUACUCGAGUGGCGAACGGGUGAGUAACACGUGGGUGAUCUGCCCUGCACUUCGGGAUAAGCCUGGGAAACUGGGUCUAAUACCUGAUAGGAGCCAUUUUUAGUGUGAUGGUUGGAAAGUUUUUUUCGGUGUAGGAUGAGCUCGCGGCCUAUCAGCUUGUUGGUGGGGUAAUGGCCUACCAAGGCGGCGACGGGUAGCCGGCCUGAGAGGGUGGACGGCCACAUUGGGUCUGAGAUACGGCCCAGACUCCUACGGGAGGCAGCAGUGGGGAAUAUUGCACAAUGGGCGCAAGCCUGAUGCAGCGAGGCCGCGUGGGGGAUGACGGCCUUCGGGUUGUAAACUCCUUUCGCUAGGGACGAAGCUUUUUGUGACGGUACCUAGAUAAGAAGCACCGGCUAACUACGUG